rnacentral:rRNA from 1 species
AACGAACGCUGGCGGCAGGCCUAACACAUGCAAGUCGAGCGAGGACUUCGGUCCUAGCGGCGGACGGGUGAGUAACGCGUGGGAACGUGCCCUUUGCUUCGGAAUAGCCCUGGGAAACUGGGAGUAAUACCGGAUGAGCCCUUUGGGGGAAAGAUUUAUCGGCGAAGGAUCGGCCCGCGUUGGAUUAGGUAGUUGGUGGGGUAAUGGCCUACCAAGCCGACGAUCCAUAGCUGGUUUGAGAGGAUGAUCAGCCACACUGGGACUGAGACACGGCCCAGACUCCUACGGGAGGGAGCAGUGGGGAAUCGUAGACAAUGGGGGAAGCCCUGAUCUAGCCAUGCCGCGUGAGCGAUGAAGGCCUUAGGGUUGUAAAGCUCUUUCAGCUGGGAAGAUAAUGACGGUACCAGCAGAAGAAGCCCCGGCUAACUCCGUG